CCAGCCGCCGAACUCGCGUGCCCUAGAGGGUUGGGUUCACGACAACGCGCCGAUUCUUCUCUGUGUUCGGCCUCUCCACCGCCGCACACCGCUGAGAGCCGGCUCUCCUCCUUGUGUUCACGACCGCUCCACAUCUGCACCGUGCCGACGCCGACUUCUUCAUCUCUGCGCCACUGCCUCUGCGUGCCACUGCCUCCACACCUUCUUCACUGUGGUCACACCUCUAGUGCCCUAGCAGUGAUCUGGGAGUGCUUGACCUUGCUUGGACCAGUCGGUGGAGAUUUCUUUUCCCUGUGUUGCUGCUGUGCCCUAGUGCACCAUUACCGGUGCCACUCUCUUCUUUACAGCAGAGUGGUGAUUUUAGAGUGAAGUGUCCGACUUGUAAAGUGUGCUUUAGUUUGUUCAAGACUUCCAGCAGCAACCCCAUCCAGUAGCCCUUGCUUCAGCAGCAACAGCAACGGUGGUUGAGGAUUUUGACACGAGACGAGUAUCUCGGAGUCGGAUUGGACUUUUCUUAUCGGAGGCGGG